rnacentral:rRNA from 1 species
UACGAAGGGGGCUAGCGUUGCUCGGAAUCACUGGGCGUAAAGCGCACGUAGGCGGCUUUCUAAGUCAGGGGUGAAAUCCUGGAGCUCAACUCCAGAACUGCCUUUGAUACUGGAGAGCUUGAGUCCGGGAGAGGUGAGUGGAACUGCGAGUGUAGAGGUGAAAUUCGUAGAUAUUCGCAAGAACACCAGUGGCGAAGGCGGCUUUCUGGACUGUAACUGACGCUGAGGCGCGAAAGCGUGGGGAGCAAACAGG